ACUUUAACCUUGAUUGAAGUCAUUGAAGUCCAGCGACUGUUACACUCAUAAUAAAAAAAUGCAUCUUAUUUUUGUCUGAAUUUGCUUACUUUCAGCUUCCUCUCAUUGCUUUUCUAUUCAACUGCUAGAACGAAAAGCAUUCUGCCAUCAAGUAUCUGUCCUCAUGCAGGCAAAGUAUCUCUCCGGCCAUCACAGAGUCCAGCCAGAUAGGAAGACUGAACAAAUGCAGAAGCAGGAUGUGAAGACCAGUGUGAGCUACAUGCUGAGCUAUCAGGUG